rnacentral:rRNA from 1 species
UACGUAGGGUGCAAGCGUUAAUCGGAAUUACUGGGCGUAAAGCGUGCGCAGGCGGCUUUGCAAGACAGAUGUGAAAUCCCCGGGCUUAACCUGGGAACUGCAUUUGUGACUGCAUGGCUGGAGUGCGGCAGAGGGGGAUGGAAUUCCGCGUGUAGCAGUGAAAUGCGUAGAUAUGCGGAGGAACACCGAUGGCGAAGGCAGCAGACUGGGCAUCACCUGACGCUGAGGCGCGAAAGCGUGGGUAGCAAACAGG